UUCCAGACUCCUACGGGAGGCAGCAGUGGGGAAUAUUGCACAAUGGGGGAAACCCUGAUGCAGCGACGCCGCGUGAGUGAAGAAGUAUUUCGGUAUGUAAAGCUCUAUCAGCAGGGAAGAAAAUGACGGUACCUGAUUAAGAAGCCCCGGCUAACUACGUGCCAGCAGCCGCGGUAAUACGUAGGGGGCAAGCGUUAUCCGGAUUUACUGGGUGUAAAGGGAGCGUAGACGGUGAUGCAAGUCAGAAGUGAAAGCCCGGGGCUCAACUCCGGGACUGCUUUUGAAACUGUGUGACUGGAGUGCAGGAGAGGUAAGCGGAAUUCCUGGUGUAGCGGUGAAAUGCGUAGAUAUCAGGAGGAACACCAGUGGCGAAGGCGGCUUACUGGACUGUAACUGACGUUGAGGCUCGAAAGCGUGGGGAGCAAACAGGAUUAGAUACCCCCGUAC
rnacentral:rRNA from 1 species